GUCUAUAACCUCAGAUUAAUUUAUGUAACUUUCUCAUUUCAUCAGCCAUCAUCCGAUUUUCUUGUCUGUCAAACUCUAAAAUUGGCAAUGGAAAUUCUGAUGGAUGUGAUAAACAGGUGAAGAUCUCGAUUCCGAAAGAAGCAACGAUGACCCAGACGACACGCUUGCCGAAUCUACCUUCCGUCAAAGAAAUCUAGCGAGUUGGAUCAUUGUCGUCGUACCUGAGGUGCAAGCAUCGCAAAGUACAUCCUUCAUCUUCUGUUUUUGUCCGUCCUUUUGGAUUAUCGUCGGUGUACUUCACAGUCCCAUGCCGACUGAAUAUCAUUUAUAUAGCACCGUGAUAGAGCCAAUAUCGACUGUCGAGCCGAAGGAAGUCGAUUCUGAGAGGACAUUAGUGUUAGAGAAGGAACAGCUUCAGAACAAGAAACGGAUGUGCACAACAUAUCAGGAACAGCUUCGGAACAAGAAAUUUUCUUUUCAGAGAGAUUUGUUUCUAAAACGGUACCUCGUGAUUAUGGCUUCUUGAGAUGUAUGUGACCGUACCGACGCAUCUUUCUUAACAGAUGCAUAUAACAUAUAUACAGAAUCUAUAGUGCAUGAUGGGUAUUUGAAAAUCUGCAUUAGCUUUCUAUUGUUUAAAAGGACAAAACGGAAUUGGAUAACCACUCAUGUCACAUUGAUAUUGGCCUCUAAUUUAAUAGAUUAUACAAGGUUUGUAUCGGCCCAGAUUGAUGUAAUUUGUCGUUGGGCUAUCAAAUCCCAAAUGAAUUGGUAUGAAUGUUGAUUACAAUAGUCUGAAUGUUUUUUACAAUGAACAUGCACGUUGUACUUUUCAAGUAAUUUGGAUGAUCAGGAAUUAUGGUCUCAAAUAUAUAUCCAGGACCAUGGUUUCUUAACCAUUGUGGCUUUUGAAAAAUUGUUUCUUAUUGGAAGUUGGAGAAAUCCCUUGAUCUCAGUGGAUUGGUUUCUAUAACUACUGCAUAACUGUCAUGGAAAAAUGGUAUAUUCAAGUGGAUUGAUCUAGUUUGAGAAUUGAGAUCAAUGAAGGCAUAUUCUAGUGGUUUAUGAAGGUAAGGCCUUCAAAUACAUGUAUUUGCUUUGUUACAUGUGCAACUAGUACUAUUCCUUCCAUGGAAAAAUGGUAAAGUAUUUGAUAUUAGAUGUAACGACCCGUCCCUAAUUUUCUUAUGUAAUUUCUUCCCGAGUAUGUGUAUUGACGGUUAUGCCCUUAUUGGCAAGUGAUGUGGACAUAUUUAUAUCACUUUUAUUUUAUUUCUUGUUAUCGCAUAUAAAUUAUACAUGUUGUUACGAGUGUACGGGAAUUUCUACCAGUGUAGAAAUAUCUACUUCGAAUAGAUUUUGAUUUCCCUUACAAUAGAAAAUCUGAAAACCUAUCCUUAUCUACCAUUUUAACCCAAACCGUGCACCCUCCUCCAUUAUUUCACCUUCUCACCAAUCAACUACCUCAAAUCUCCCACCAAUCCCAUCCUUCCCCUCUACAUGGCAUCCAAUCAGAAAUCAGAAAAAUGAACUAUCUCUCUCUUCCUUCUCUCUCUCUCCCUUUCAAAACUCUCUUCUUCUUUGCAACCCCUCAAACGAGCUUCAAACCUCACAGAUUGAACCCAAGAACCUCAUUUUCGUGUUCAUCUCAUCCUCACAAACAUAACCAUGUUCUUGAAACCUAGAAUUGACGAGUUUUCAACAUCGAACUCGUGAGGUCCGAAAUUGGGCAAACUGAGUUCGACGUGUUUUCGAGCGAGUUAGGAAGUUUUGAAGCUUGGAGAAGCUUCUACACAACUCCUCAAGGCUUCUACAACAAUUUGGGAGAAAUUUGGAAGUGAAACGACCAAGUUUUCGAAGAGUUCACUUUUGGCCUAAACUUUUGAGGCUUUUUUCGGCAACCUUUGUCCACUUUUUGGACUCCUAACAGAAAUCCGACGAAGUUGAGUUGCAGAUGGCGGCGACGACGAGGCUCGCCAGAGAAGAAGACGGAAUAUUUCGUCAAAGAGACGAAAUAUUCUGACGGCGUCAGGUAACGUCAUUAAUUUUUUUAGCACUUAAUAGAAUAUUCCUGACGGUGUCAAGCUAACUGACGACAUUGGCCUGCGCAUGGGGGCGCGUGUGGCCGCGCCCUUGACGG